rnacentral:rRNA from 1 species
UACGGGGGGGGCAAGCGUUGUUCGGAAUUACUGGGCGUAAAGGGCUCGUAGGCGGCCAACUAAGUCAGACGUGAAAUCCCCAGGCUCAACCUGGGAACUGCGUCUGAUACUGGAUGGCUUGAAUUCGGGAGAGGGAUGCAGAAUUCCAGGUGUAGCGGUGAAAUGCGUAGAUAUCUGGAGGAACACCGGUGGCGAAGGCGGCAUCCUGGACCAACACUGACACUGAGGAGCGAAAGCCAGGGGAGCAAACGGG